CAGAACAUUGAUCAUCUUGAUGUGUUCAUUAAAGUUAUAUUCUGACGAAACUGUGCGAGUUCACUAAUUUGCCUCAUAUAACAUCUUGUAGCCCCUUUUAACCGAGUCAGAUGACUGUUAGAGAACUGUGAUUUCAACAUAAAUUGUCCUGGGCACUGACUUUGAAUAGUUCACACAUGCAUUGGAUUACUUCCAUAUCUUGGUCUAGUCCUGCAUCAAUAUAAAAGGUGAUAGUAACCAUCUCAUCCAUGGGUUGGAAAGUGGACGUUUAUAUUAAUAGGGUUGAUGUUAUCCAGUUUGUUUGAUUUUCUGAAAGGGGCCUAAGAAAGGAGCAUUGGAUAAAACAGAAGGUCCAGAUUAAUGUUAUCAAUACCUCAUGUCUGACUGCAACUAUCUAUAAGGACGUUCCCAUACGUACAACCCACCCGAGCAUUUCUCCAUUUGUUGGUUUUUUUUUUUUUUGUAGCCUUCUGUAGUUUAGUGUAUGGGUUUCCAAAGAUGUAUGUUCCAAGACCAUGAAUACAUUUAGCUUCUAUAUAUUUGCCAAGAAGUGAUAUUAUGUACUUUGUCAUGACCAGAAACUUAGUUCUUAUGCAUAUUUGAAUUGGUUGAAAUGUAUGGAAAAUUCAACUCCCAAAAAUUUGCCACAAAGUACUUGUAUUGGACUUGCAGUCUAUGAACUCUUCAUCAAGGUCAGGAAAAAAAAUAAUAUAACCUACCUUUUCCUUGUUCUUUAUACCUGGUUCUCUCUAUAUGUUAUCAAUGUGCUUUUAUGAAGCUGGUUGUAUUCUUUGCAUUAAUAUAUAAUUCUAUAAAAAACUGAUCAUCUACAACCACUUGUAUGCAACGACCCUUUCUUCUUCU